UACGUAGGGUGCGAGCGUUGUCCGGAAUUAUUGGGCGUAAAGGGCUCGUAGGCGGUUUGUCGCGUCGGGAGUGAAAACCUUGGGCUUAACUCAGGGCUUGCUUUCGAUACGGGCAGACUAGAGGUAUGCAGGGGAGAACGGAAUUCCUGGUGUAGCGGUGAAAUGCGCAGAUAUCAGGAGGAACACCGGUGGCGAAGGCGGCAUCCUGGACCAACACUGACGCUGAGUGAGCGAAAGCCAAGGGAGCAAACGGG
rnacentral:rRNA from 1 species